rnacentral:rRNA from 1 species
GACGAACGCUGGCGGCGUGCUUAACACAUGCAAGUCGAACGGAAAGGCCCUGCUUUUGUGGGGUGCUCGAGUGGCGCACGGGUGUGUAACACGUGAGUAUCCUGCCCUUGACUUUGGGAUAACUUCAGGAAACUGGGGCUAAUACCGGAUAGGAGCUCCUGCUGCAUGGUGGGGGUUGGAAAGUUUCGGCGGUUGGGGAUGGACUCGCGGCUUAUCAGCUUGUUGGUGGGGUAGUGGCUUACCAAGUCUUUGACGGGUAGCCGGCCUGAGAGGGUGGCCGGCCACAUUGGGACUGAGGGACGGCCCAGACGCCUACGGGAGGCAGCAGUGGGGAAUAUGGCACAAUGGGCGGAAGCCUGAUGCAGCAACGCCGCGUGCGGGAUGACGUCCUUCGGGUGGUAAACCGCUUUCGCCUGUGACGAAGCGUGAUUGACGGUAAUGGGUAAAGAAGCACCGGCUAACUACGUG